GACCCCCAAGGGGAAGCGAAGACCCUAUAGAGCUUUACUGCAGGCUGUCGCUGAGACGUGGUCGCCGAUGUGCAGCAUAGGUAGGAGUCGUUACAGAGGUACGCGCGCCAGCGCGCCACCCAGACAGCAUUGAAAUACUACCCGUCGGUGACUGCGACUCUCACUCCGGGAGGAGUACACCGGUAGCCGGGCAGUUUGACUGGGGCGGUACGCGCUNCAUUGAAAUACUACCCGUCGGUGACUGCGACUCUCACUCCGGGAGGAGUACACCGGUAGCCGGGCAGUUUGACUGGGGCGGUACGCGCUCGAAAAGAUAUCGAGCGCGCCCGAAGAUCAUCUCAGCCGGGUCGGGAAUCCGGCGAAGAGCGCAAGAGCACAAGAUGGUCUGACAGUGUUCUUCCCAACGAGGAACGCUGACGCGAAAGCGUGGUCUAGCGAACCUACGAGGUUCCGGAAUGGGACCCGUAGAUGACAGAAAAGCUACCUUAGGGAUAACAGAGUCGUCACUCGCAAGAGCACAUAUCGACCGAGUGGCUUGCUACCUCGAUGUCGGUUCCCUCCAUCCUGCCCGUGCAGAAGCGGGCAAGGGUGAGGUUGUUCGCCUAUUAAAGGAGGUCGUGAGCUGGGUUUAGACCGUCGUGAGACAGGUCGGCUGCUAUCUAUUGGGGGNNGCCACUGGUGUAUCGGUUGUCCGAGAGGGCAGAUGCCGAGUAGCCACGCGACACGGGGUAAGAGCUGAACGCAUCUAAGCUCGAAACCCACAUGGAAAAGAGGUACCACAGAGGUCACUCGUAGAAGACGAGUUCGAUAGACUCGGGGUGUACGCACCAAGGCAACGAGGUGUUAAGCCCACGAGCACUAACAGACC
rnacentral:rRNA from 1 species